GGUAGUGCGGGUGCUAAUACAUGCAAGUCGAGCGAACUGAUUAGAAGCUUGCUUCUAUGACGUUAGCGGCGGACGGGUGAGUAACACGUGGGCAACCUGCCUGUAAGACUGGGAUAACUUCGGGAAACCGAAGCUAAUACCGGAUAGGAUCUUCUCCUUCAUGGGAGAUGAUUGAAAGAUGGUUUCGGCUAUCACUUACAGAUGGGCCCGCGGUGCAUUAGCUAGUUGGUGAGGUAACGGCUCACCAAGGCAACGAUGCAUAGCCGACCUGAGAGGGUGAUCGGCCACACUGGGACUGAGACACGGCCCAGACUCCUACGGGAGGCAGCAGUAGGGAAUCUUCCGCAAUGGACGAAAGUCUGACGGAGCAACGCCGCGUGAGUGAUGAAGGCUUUCGGGUCGUAAAACUCUGUUGUUAGGGAAGAACAAGUACGAGAGUAACUGCUCGUACCUUGACGGUACCUAACCAGAAAGCCACGGCUAACUACGUGCCAGCAGCCGCGGUAAUACGUAGGUGGCAAGCGUUAUCCGGAAUUAUUGGGCGUAAAGCGCGCGCAGGCGGUUUCUUAAGUCUGAUGUGAAAGCCCACGGCUCAACCGUGGAGGGUCAUUGGAAACUGGGGAACUUGAGUGCAGAAGAGAAAAGCGGAAUUCCACGUGUAGCGGUGAAAUGCGUAGAGAUGUGGAGGAACACCAGUGGCGAAGGCGGCUUUUUGGUCUGUAACUGACGCUGAGGCGCGAAAGCGUGGGGAGCAAACAGGAUUAGAUACCUGGGUAGUCCA
rnacentral:rRNA from 2 species